GAUUGGGGGGUGGGAGGGAGAGGGGAACUGCAGUGCCAGGAAAACAAUCCAUUUUCCUGGCACUGCAGUUCCCCUCUCCCUCCCACCCCCCAAUCC
rnacentral:miRNA from 1 species